UGGGGAAUAUUGCACAAUGGGGCGAAAGCCUGAUGCAGCAAACGCCGCGUGAGGGAAGACGGUUUUCGGAUUGUAAACCUCUGUUUUCGGUGACGAACAAAUGACGGUAACCGAGUAGGAAGCCACGGCUAACUACGUGCCAGCAGCCGCGGUAAUACGGAGGAUGCGAGCGUUAUCCGGAUUUAUUGGGUUUAAAGGGUGCGCAGGCGGGCGUCUAAGUCAGCGGUGAAAGUUCCCGGCUCAACCGGGUCAGUGCCGAUGAUACUGGGGGCCUUGAAUGCGGUCGAGGCCGGCGGAAUGUGGCGUGUAGCGGUGAAAUGCAUAGAUAUGCCACAGAACACCGAUAGCGAAGGCAGCUGGCCGGGCCUGCAUUGACGCUGAGGCACGAAAGCGUGGGGAUCGAACAGGAUUAGAUACCCUGGUAGU
rnacentral:rRNA from 1 species